UACGGGGGGGGCAAGCGUUGUUCGGAAUUACUGGGCGUAAAGGGCUCGUAGGUGGCCAACUAAGUCAGACGUGAAAUCCCUCGGCUUAACCUGGGAACUGCGUCUGAUACUGGAUGGCUUGAGUUUGGGAGAGGAAUGCGGAAUUCCAGGUGUAGCGGUGAAAUGCGUAGAUAUCUGGAGGAACACCGAUGGCGAAGGCGGCAUUCUGGGCCAAUACUGACGCUGAGGAGCGAAAGCCAGGGGAGCAAACGGG
rnacentral:rRNA from 1 species